rnacentral:sRNA from 1 species
UAUGAACUAAAAUUUAAUAAUAUUGUAUAAAAUAAACUACAUUGUUCAACCUAAUAUCAUUCAUACAACUAAUUGUUCAUACAUAAAAAUUAAAAAGAAAGAGGUUCAUUACAUAUGUUCAAUAUAGAUGUUCAAUACUAAAAGUAUGACUCUUAAAAGUAUUCAAUAACAAUAUCUAAUUUUUUUCUUCAUUACAUCCAUUGUUUGGCCCACUCCCUUGAUGAGAUACCUAUAAUAUAACAUAAUAGUUAGUCGAUAAUAUAUUUAAUAAAAAAAUCAUACAAAUAAUCAUACCUCUUAUGCACAAUAUUUCAUUCUAAAAAUAGUGAAAAUUAAAAGAAAAAAAAUAAUAGAUAAAUUCAUAAUCACCAGUUCAUCACACAUGUAAUUCCAUUUCCUAACUUUAUUCCAUAUCACACUGAAACUGAGGAAUAAAAAUACAUUAUUUUCUGAUUUCAACAAAAUCAAUCAGACCUUCAACUUCCUACAAAACAUAUUAAUCUGAACAAGAAAUCAUGCAAGUUCUUGGAUGACAAAUCUUGAAAACUGCCUGGGUGCUGAUGUUCUUCCAAAACACGUGGCUUAGAAUGAUUAGGGUUAAAAUAUCCAAGACUAGCAUACUGUAACAAGAAAGCCUGAUUUGGGUGCCCCAGAAAGUUAGACUGGGUUCUCUCCGGGAUAAAUGAAGUUCCUGACUCAGACCCAUAGUUCCAUUGAGAAAAACUGCCAUGCUGCUUAAAAGAACGACAAAAAAAACAUUAACUUAAAUGAUGAAAUUAUAUAACCGCUAGUCUAGUUUUAAAACCAUCGCUAAGACUUGGAGAGAAGUAGCAUAACAACAUGAUAUUAAUGACAGUGGGGACAAAAACCUCCCUUGGUUUUCUUCCAUUUUGAACAGGACGCCAUUUCUUAGUCACCACCACACACUCGCUGAUGUAGAAUAACAAAUUCCAUUAUAUAUAACGAAAGGAGAAAAAUAAGUACCCCGAGUUCUUCAGCCUCAGCUCUGUUACAAAGCAGGUUUAACCACAAGCUUGAUUAACACAAAUUAUUAACCAUAUAAUUAGUCUACCAACUUUGUUUAAAAGAAGAUGAUGUUGUGACAAAGAAUUUAAUGUACCAGUUAAACAUUAAUCAAAUUACACGAGCAAGAUUUGAGAAUGUAUAGAAAUUACCUGCAAGCAAGCCAGUGUUUCCCCAAAGAAGAAUGUGCUUCCAUUUGAACCUGAAGCCUCUAUUGGUAUUGACCCAAGUGUUAGAGCUACUGUCAUUUCCCUCUCAAUUGCUGCAAUUAAUUUGAAUAGUGUUAAAUCCAUCCGAUUUACUAGUGCAAGAACAAGGUAUUGCCUAAACAAUAUGCAUUAAGUUAAAAUAUAAAUACUCUAUUAGUUAUUAUUAGGAUUCAAAUAUAAAAUUAGACAAUAGAAAACAUGAAGUCAAAGGGGAUUUUAGGAUUCAUAAAAUGGAGAAGGAAAUACUUUAACGAGAAAUACACAUAAAUGAUGUAAGAGAUGUGACAUAACUUAUCAAACAACUGCUCCCAGAAAAUCUGGAAAUUUUUUCGCUAAUCGUGCUAUUGCAUCUUUGGUAGCCAAUUUGGGAUCCAUUCCCAACCUCAUACUUUCCACAACUUGAUAGCUGAAAUUGAAUAGAAGUAUUCAUCUAGAUAUUCAGAAUUGAAAACACAUAAGAAUAUUUAAUUGAAGUGUAACUAUACUAUAGUAAGCAUGAUUGAAAGUUGAAAUUACCAAGGUAAUGUUUUUUACAGGUCAAUGCACUAGAAAAAUAAGUUUAAUACGCUAGUUGCAAAAAAAUUAUCAUUUAGCUAUUAAGCAAGAACAUUACAUGAUGGACCAGUUGUGCUCACCCCCAAAUAGAAGUUGCGUACCAAAAUUAACAAGCAAUAGAUAUGCAAUGAAAAUAAGACACCAUCAAAUUGUCUGUGCGUAUGCCAAUAUGCAUAACUUCUGAAGAGAAUCUAACAAAAAGUAACUCAGUAUGUAAAAUAGAGAAACUAGAGACUUUCUGUGCUACCAUGGAAGGAAGCGCAUCAUGAUGUCACCAUCCCCAGUUGCACAACAUGCACCAACUUCCUCUACAGCAUAUGCAGAGGAUCCAGCUAUGGGACCCACUGUUCUCCGAGGUCUCUGAAACGCAUUAAGAGCAACCCAAUUUGGAGAUUUUGAUUGGGAUAAGAGAACACUUUUCAAGAAAUUCAAGACAUUGUUGUUGGAGCUAUUGUAGAAAAUUAAUAUACAGAUCAAAUGGAAACAAUAUAUUAGAAUAUAAUUUUGAUUUGAAGAUAAGGAAUAAGAUAAGAUAUUCUAUCGAUUCAAAGAGUAAAAACACAUCAUCAGAUUCGUCUUAAAAUUUUCUUUUUAAGUAAAGUCUUUUUGAUGUGGAAAAUCAUUCCUUUCGUUCAAGUAUUUGCGUUUUAAUGAACACAUAAUCAAAGAUGAAGAAUAUUAAUAUUAUACCAGGGAGCUUCGUAUGCCAAUUCAUAGCAGAAAGUAGAAAUCCAAAAGCAACAAGUUCAAAUCCAAGAAGAAGUAAACGACUUGAAUCAAAACAAGAACAACUUACCGAUGUUUCUUAACAAAUGAGGUCCACAUAGUUACGAGCCGCUUCUAAUCCUCAGAAAGACCAAGAAGCUCAAGUUUCU